rnacentral:rRNA from 1 species
UACGUAGGGUGCAAGCGUUGUCCGGAAUUAUUGGGCGUAAAGAGCUCGUAGGCGGUCUGUCGCGUCGGCUGUGAAAUCCCGGAGCUCAACUCCGGGUCUGCAGUCGAUACGGGCAGACUGGAGUUCGGCAGGGGAGACUGGAAUUCCUGGUGUAGCGGUGAAAUGCGCAGAUAUCAGGAGGAACACCAGCGGCGAAGGCGGCGCUCUGGGCCGGUACUGACGCUGAGGAGCGAAAGCGUGGGGAGCGAACAGG